rnacentral:rRNA from 1 species
AUUGAACGCUGGCGGCAGGCCUCACACAUGCAAGUCGAACGAGUGGCGGACGGGUGAGUAAUGUCUGGGAAACUGCCCGAUGGAGGGGGAUAACUAAUGGAAACGGUAGCUAAUACCGCAUACCAUCGGAUGUGCCCAGAUGGGAUUAGCUUGUAGGUGAGGUAACGGCUCACCAGGGCAACGAUCCCUAGCUGGUCUGAGAGGAUGACCAGCCACACUGGAACUGAGACCCGGUCCAGGCUCCUACGGGAGGCAGCAUUGGGGAAUAUUGCACUAUGGGCGAAAGCCUGAUGCAGCCAUGCCGCGUGUAUGAAUAAGGCCUUCGGGUUGUAAAGUACUUUCAGCGGGGAGGCGUUACCCGCAGAAGAAGCACCGGCUAACUCCGUGCCAGCAGCCGCGGUAAUUC